rnacentral:lncRNA from 1 species
GACAGUUGUUAUUUUUAAGCCUUGUGUAGUUGGUGUUUCCUGGUAUUUUGGAUUCUGACCCACAGUUUGUGAAUUUUGGAGUUAGGAGUCCGACAGCUGCCAGUGAAAAGAUCUGCAGGAAAGGUUCAGAAGAUGAGUGAUACCUUGGAUGUGCAGUGAUUGUAGACAGAGCCCCCUUUAUGGAACCAUUUGCAUCCGCAUAUGGAGCUAUACUCACCAAAUUGCUUUUUGGAUUAGAAUUAGAAAAAAGAAAAGAAAAAAUUCAGCUCAAUCUCAAUCUCUGCAUUAAUUAAAUAGUGGUAAGAAGAUGGAAAACAGAAAGAAGAUUUAUUACUUUUUUUUUUUUUU